rnacentral:rRNA from 1 species
CUCAGAUUGAACGCUGGCGGCAGGCCUAACACAUGCAAGUCGAGCGGAAACGACACUAACAAUCCUUCGGGUGCGUUAAUGGGCGUCGAGCGGCGGACGGGUGAGUAAUGCCUAGGAAAUUGCCUUGAUGUGGGGGAUAACCAUUGGAAACGAUGGCUAAUACCGCAUAAUGCCUACGGGCCAAAGAGGGGGAUCUUCGGACCUCUCGCGUCAAGAUAUGCCUAGGUGGGAUUAGCUAGUUGGUGAGGUAAUGGCUCACCAAGGCGACGAUCCCUAGCUGGUCUGAGAGGAUGAUCAGCCACACUGGAACUGAGACACGGUCCAGACUCCUACGGGAGGCAGCAGUGGGGAAUAUUGCACAAUGGGCGAAAGCCUGAUGCAGCCAUGCCGCGUGUAUGAAGAAGGCCUUCGGGUUGUAAAGUACUUUCAGUUGUGAGGAAGGGGUAACGUUAAUAGCGUUAUCUCUUGACGUUAGCAACAGAAU